AGCAGUCGCCGCGGUAAUACGAAGGGGGCUAGCGUUGUUCGGAAUUACUGGGCGUAAAGCGCACGUAGGCGGAUAUUUAAGUCAGGGGUGAAAUCCCAGAGCUCAACUCUGGAACUGCCUUUGAUACUGGGUAUCUUGAGUAUGGAAGAGGUGAGUGGAAUUCCGAGUGUAGAGGUGAAAUUCGUAGAUAUUCGGAGGAACACCAGUGGCGAAGGCGGCUCACUGGUCCAUUACUGACGCUGAGGUGCGAAAGCGUGGGGAGCAAACAGGAUUAGAGACCCGUGUAGUCCCUGUCUCUUAUAC
rnacentral:rRNA from 1 species